AGCGGGUAGCCGUGGUUCGCAGGGUGUAUAUGUAUGUACACAUAAUUACAUCCAUAUGCGAAUACUUAUGUAUGUAUGUACGUCGGCUUGGUUUUCAAAACGUUAUCAAAACCUCUAAUGCCCAAUUCAAGUAUUUGGAUGUAUGUAUGUAUAUUUAUUUAGGUAAUAAUGGAAAUAUGACUUUAUUAUAAUUACCAACAGAUUUAAUGGAAUUUAUCAUUAAAUAUGUCAAAUUGCACAUACAUACAUACAUAUAUAUAUACAUACAUAUGAGCUUUGUUAUCAAAUGUGUACAUACAUACAUAUAUGGAGAAUAUCUAUAAAUGAUAUCCAUAGCCGUUUGCGCAUUGUAAAUAUGCGAAUCUGUAAGCGUACAUUGAAAUUAGCAUAAUUUUUCUCAUUUAACACUGAAAAUACUCAAUUCUGCUAUUUUCGACGCUCCUGUUAAAUAUUGGUGAAAUCCGCUUAUAGAAAAGAGUACCCCUCCAAAAAAUGAAAUAUCGUAAGUUUGGCAACGCGGUGAACCUUCUCUAUAUUAAACGUUCUCUGCAUUCGCUCAACUUUUUUGUUGCCAUACUAAACUAAUUGAGAAAUGUCACACGAGUUCAUCCGAAAUUGACAUAUUUGACGUAUUAUUGUUUUUGUUUUGGAAUUUUAUUAUUCGCUUAUUCGUUAUUGUGUGUUUUGAAAUUUUACCGUGAUUUUAAAAAAAUGAAUCAAAAUGUUUAACAACGUAGAUUUAUAUUUUGAAGACAGUGUUGUUGAAAGGACAACAGCGAAGUUACUUAGGCAGCGACGGUUCAUCAGAGAUCACUCUAAUCCCAUGGAACUUUCUUCAGUGUUAUUCAAAAAAAACUUUCGGUUAAGUAAGGAUGCAUUUAUGUAUGUGCUAGACAGCAUAAAGGAAAAAUGUCUGACUAACCUAUCGUCGUCAAUAUCGCCGAUGUUGAAAUUGUGCUGCGUUCUCAGAUUUUUGGCUCAUGGGAGCUAUCAGCAAACAGUGGGAAAUGAUUUCCAACUAGGUAUUGCACAGCCCACUGUUUCGUUGAUUUUUAAGGAAAUGCUUCCAAUAUUGGAAUCCACUCUGUGCAGUGUCUGGAUCAAAACAGACAUAACUGAAGAGCAGAAACAAACAGCAAGAAGGAAAUUUUUCACCAGAUCAGGAAUUCCAAAUGUGGUUGGUUGCGUUGAUGUGUGAACAAGCACUUAUAUGUGAAUAGAAAAGGAUUUUACAGCAUAAAUGCGAUGAUUGCAUGCGAUCAGGAUAUGGUCAUAUGGUGUGUUGAUGCAAGAUAUGGAGGAUCUAGCCACGAUUCAUUUGUGUGGAACAAUAGCGCUUUAAAAACAUAUCUGGAGCAAACAUACCAAAAAGGAGAUCAUAAUUCGGUUUACUUAGGUAACUACAAUUUAUAUGUGUAUGUACAUACAUAAAUACUAAAAUUAAAAAUUAAAUUAUAAUAUAUAUAUAUUGGUGAUUCUGGUUAUCCACUACACGAGUAUCUAUGGACGCCUUUCCGAAACGCUUUACCAGGAACAGUGGAAUCAAAUUUUAAUAAGAAACAUGUAAAGGCAAGGAACGUAGUUGAACGGACAAUUGGAGUGCUGAAAUGCCGUUUUCGUUGUAUACUAGAUGAACGUAAACUACGAUAUCCUCCUAGUAAAGCAACUGUUAUUGUAAAUGUUUGUUGUGCUUUACACAAUAUUUGCAAACAAUAUAAUGUGAAUGAUCCUGAAGAAGAAACUUUUGUUGAUGUGGUAGUACCACUGGAACCAGUUGAAGGAAACUUCGCCGAAUGGGUCCUAUUUCAGUCUUUAAAUUCUUUUGUAUGUUUUUAUAUAAAUUUAUUUAUUGUAACUAUGGAUAAUAGAGUGUGGUAACUAUGGUAUUUGUUUAGAGUUGAUGACUUCGUACAAUGAAUUUUAAAUUAAAAAUUAUCAGACUCCAUUUCCUUUAACUCUUUCUCAUUUAUCUUCAAAUCUAAUAGAAAAAAUUCAUAAGUAGUAAAUAUGUUGGGAUACAUACUAUA